rnacentral:rRNA from 1 species
CACGUAGGGUCCGAGCGUUGUCCGGAAUUACUGGGCGUAAAGAGCUCGUAGGUGGUUUGUCGCGUUGUUCGUGAAAACUCACAGCUCAACUGUGGGCGUGCGGGCGAUACGGGCAGACUUGAGUACUGCAGGGGAGACUGGAAUUCCUGGUGUAGCGGUGGAAUGCGCAGAUAUCAGGAGGAACACCGGUGGCGAAGGCGGGUCUCUGGGAAGUAACUGACGCUGAGAAGCGAAAGCAUGGGUAGCAAACAGG